UUGCAGUCUAUUAAGCCGACCGGUUCUGCUGCCAGUGCUUUACCGGUGUGCAAAGGCUGCAUACAGCGACUCAUUGGUUUGUGUAUGUACUCAGCUGGGCAGUGCUGAGAGCUUUAAAGGGACCAUUGAGACAAAG
ensembl:snoRNA SNORA70 Small nucleolar RNA SNORA70